AUACGUAGGUGACAAGCGUUAUCCGGAUUUACUGGGCGUAAAGGGCGUGUAGGCGGUCUUGCAAGUCAGAAGUGAAAUUCCUGAGCUCAACUCGGGCGCUGCUUCUGAAACUGCAGGACUUGAGUGCUGGAGGGGAUAGCGGAAUUCCUAGUGGAGCGGUAAAAUGUGCAGAUAUUAGGAAGAACACCGGUGGCGAAGGCGGCUUUCUGGACAGUAACUGACGCUGAGGCGCGAAAGCGUGGGGAGCAAACAGGAUUAGAUACCCUGGUAGUCCACGCCAUAAACGAUGAAUACUAGGUGUAGGGGGUAUCGACCCCCUCUGUGCCGACGUUAACACAUUAAGUAUUCCACCUGGGGAGUACGGCCGCAAGGCUGAAACUCAAAUGAAUUGGCGGGG
rnacentral:rRNA from 1 species